GUUCAAUUUUUAACCAAAUUCAACCAAAUUUUAAUCAGUUCUUCCUUAGCCGAUGGGAAAUGCAUUCAAAAAAUUUCGUACGGAUAUGUUUGGUAUUUCUUGAGUUAUCGUGCUCACAGACAAACACACACACACAUACACAUACACACACACACACAUACACACACACACACACACACACACACACACACACACACACACACACACACACACACACAAACCCAGAU